UACGUAGGGGGCAAGCGUUGUCCGGAAUCAUUGGGCGUAAAGAGCGUGUAGGCGGCCCGAUAAGUCCGCUGUGAAAGUCCAGGGCUCAACCCUGGGAUGCCGGUGGAUACUGUCGGGCUCGAGUCCGGAAGAGGCGAGUGGAAUUCCUGGUGUAGCGGUGAAAUGCGCAGAUAUCAGGAGGAACACCAAUGGCGAAGGCAGCUCGCUGGGACGUGACUGACGCUGAGGAGCGAAAGCGUGGGGAGCGAACAGG
rnacentral:rRNA from 1 species